CAUCUGUUCAGCCAGCGGCAUCGGCAUGGGCAUGGACCGCGCCUUGGUUUUGCCCAUUCUUUUCCGGUUCCCGUCGGCGUCAGCUUGCUGAUUUGCGACUGCUAUAAAUGGAGGCAGCGAGGAGGUGGCGCACAAACCAUCGACCAGCCCCGAUCGGGAAAGUUUCAGGUCGGACCGCCGGAGUAGCUAGCUAGGUGUGUGUGACAGUGUGAUACUUGAGAGAGCUAGCUAGCUCUAGCUGGGGAGUAUAGUUUUGCAGAGAUGGCCGAGAGCAGGAGAAGAGGAGGGGCCGGCCUCGCAUGGCGAUGAGAGCACUGCUCUGGUAGCCAAGGAUGACUUGCCUGUGGCCUCCACUCCACCUGCGGCAGGAGGCUCUUCUUCUGCGCGCGCGUGUGUGUGUGGUUGUCGAUCGCAGGCAGUCUCCUUGGCUAGCCUCAGCGGCUCUCAUCCUUCAUGCCAGGCUCGUCUCUUCUUCAGUUUAAUUUCAUCACUUGCUGCACUGCAAUGUUCGGUCAGCAGUGCAUGGAUGCAACAUGAGAAUAAUUUUCAUUCAGUCUACUACGUCCCCGGCCUCAUCGCAACACCUUGAACAACCUUGGCUUUGGUGUGUUCUGUGACCUCCAGCAAGGGACGAAGGGACACUAACUGGGGGUUUUCAGGCACGUACGUUGAAAUGGAGAAGGAACACACAAAGGGGUACAGAUGACAAGAUGGAGAUGAUCAGACCAAUUCACGAGUUAACGGCACUUUAUUUGCCCUUCUGUUCAUUUCUUAUUCCUGCUUCAGAGUGAAGCCAGAGAGGUGGUUAUGGGUAAAGUUUAUUUUGCCUUUGAGGGCAUGUGCCCUCACUUUCUCAUUUAUUGGAUUCGCUGAGAUGUGUAUUUGCACACUUCUCAAAGCAAACUCAAUGGGUGAGAGAGUGAGGGCAUGUGCGCUUAAGGGGAAAAAAAACCGUCUUUGGUGGUUAUGCAAUAGAACAAUACUUUCUUCAGUUAGAGCUUUCUUACAGUGCUCCGGCAGAUGUACCAAAUUUAAUUAAUAGUAUCUAUUUUUUUAUGAGAUGGAAUGAAAUUUUUUUUC